rnacentral:rRNA from 1 species
GACGAACGCUGGCGGCGUGCUUAACACAUGCAAGUCGAACGGAAAGGCCCUGCUUUUGUGGGGUGCUCGAGUGGCGAACGGGUGAGUAACACGUGAGUAACCUGCCCUUGUCUUUGGGAUAACUUCAGGAAACUGGGGCUAAUACCGGAUAGGAGCUCCUGCUGCAUGGUGGGGGUUGGAAAGUUUCGGCGGUUGGGGAUGGACUCGCGGCUUAUCAGCUUGUUGGUGGGGUAGUGGCUUACCAAGGCUUUGACGGGUAGCCGGCCUGAGAGGGUGACCGGCCACAUUAGGACUGAGGUACGGCCCAGACGCGUACGUGAGGCAACAGUGGAGAAUAUGGCACAAUAGGCGGAAGCCUGAUGCAGCAACGCCGCGUGCGGGAUGACGGCCUUCGGGUUGUAAACCGCUUUCGCCUGUGACGAAGCGGGAGUGACGGUAAUGGGUAAAGAAGCACCGGCUAACUACGUG